AUGGUGGCGGCGCUGCCGCCGGCCGAGGGCCGGGGGCUGGAGGGGAGCGUUCGCGCAUGGGAGUUGGGUGGCCUCUCCUCCAUGGAGUGGAGCACCUUCAGGCGGAGGGGGAGGGAGAUUCUCCUUCGCUCCUCAGACCGCCAACGGUGUUCGCGGCUGAUGCAAGAAAGGGCAGAGAAAAUUUUCAAGGCCCGUCCAAUUCAAGUGGAGAUCAAGAAAGUAUUGGAGGGGAUUCAUCCCGCGGAAUCAGUGGAUGGGAGUAUUGGCCUUCAAUCCUCCAGUACAGCUGCUAAUCCGGGGAACCAAUUUGUGAAUCGGCCGGCAGUUUCUAAGGAAUUUAAGGCAGAUUUGAAGAACAAAGGUAAUGGGCUUCAGGUAUGCAGUAAUUUGGCUGUUAAUUUUGAAGAUUCAGAGGCGGAGUUAGAGGAGAAGCCUGUGUAUUUCAAGGAAGGGGGCGGUGGGUUUCAGUUCGCACUUGCUCCUCGUGUCUGCUCGCCUCUGUCUGUUCUUUCUGUCUUAGUUGUUCAGGUGGCCAUGGGAGACCAGGACAUGGCAAAGGCGCUGGUGGAUGCUGAUGGGGCGGGGGUGGACACCCUCCCAGGCGCCGCGGUCAGGGAUGCUGGCAGCGCUGCUGAGGUGGGCGCGGGCCUUGACAGGCCUGCAGGUCAGGGCGUUCAGCUCGCUGCCCUGGUUCAGGCUGGUGGGGUGGCCGUCUCGCCGCUGUCUCAGACGGCUUCUGAGCCUUCUGGGAGCCUGCCGGGGGCUGCAGCGGGAGGGCCGUCAGGCAUGGCCCUCUCUGUUACGCCGUCGGCCUCCUUUGGCUUUGCGGCGGCGGCGGUGGUUCCGCCUCCUCUCCGAAGGGCGGGCAAGAGCAAGGUGUUCGCCGGUUCUAGAGCCGGCAUGAAACCCCUCGUCAUCGACUUGGAAGCCGCCUUGCGUGCGGUCGCCGGGAAACUUGGGGUGGCUAGACUACUCUCACCGAACAACGCCGUGCUGAUCGCGACGCUUGACGGGAAGACCAACCCCGUGGAUGUGUGCCUGGACUCGUUUUUGGUCUGGGUUCAAAUCCAUGGGUUGCCGGUGCCACUCAAGACUGAGGCCUUCGGCUGGGCUCUUGGUGUUCAACUAGGUGAGGUGAAGGCGGUGGCGCACCAAAACCACCAGAUUGUCGGUGAGCAUCUUCGGGUUCGGAUCAUUCACAAGGUGGAUGAGCAGUUAAGGAUGUCCGUUGCUUUCACUCCCGUUGGCAGCAAGGAGGAAUUCAGAUUCAAUGUAAAAUAUGAAAAACUGCCUAACUUUUGUUUGUCCUGUGGUAUCGUGGGACACAUGACGGCCAAGCACUGCAGUAUUCCGGCCGAGCAACGCAAGGUGAUCUACUCCUCCGACCUCAAGGCGCCGGCCUGGAGUGGGUCGGUUCGGCAUCAUUUCGACUUCUGGGGCCUGGCGGGGGCCUCGGAAGAUGAGAUGUUCGCACAGAACGCGAGGCUCCCGGACAAGGUGAUCUCGGUGGUUGCCACGGCUGUCCAACAACUUUUUGUGGCUACUGCUCCAGUUCUGGCUGAGGCAUGCCUUGGGGAGAAGGCUGGCUCGGUGGCUGCGUCGGAUCCCGGGAUGCGUGUUCUGGGCUAUUCCCUGGAGGGGAGACCGGUGCUUGCGGGAUCCGGCUCCAAGGAUGGGGCCAUGGACAAGCUUCAUCAGGAGGCGUCCGUGCAGGCGGCCGGGGGCAUCGUCGACUCCAACAUUGAUGCCUCUGGUUCGGCUGUGAGAGCUGCUCAGCAGGGCCAGGAGGGCCUUAGCGGUGAGGGCAAGGGGGCGGCCCUGGUGCAGCCGCUUCCUACUGGUGGGGGCCGCGACCAAGGGGUGGUUGCUCCCAGGCCGCAACUGAUGGAGUCGCUGGGCGCGGCUUCCCUGGAGGGCCAGGGCAUGAUGGAGCCUACCAUUUUGGCGGGUGGUGGAGCUGCGGGACUCCAGACUGUACCUGGGGUGGUGCAGCAGGCUGGUGGUGGCCAGGGCGGUGUAGUUGCACUUCCUGGGGAUGGUCUGGAGGCGGACUCGGAGGCGAAAGCUACUGGUGGGAUGCGGCCAAGUCUCGAUGCCAAGGGCAGGGAGACCAUUUGGGGACGCUGGAAGCGUGUCCAUAGGGAGGAGCGCGAGGAGCGUGCUAUGGUGCAGUACGCCGGCGUCAAGCAUGCCAUGUUCGGGGUGCCCAUUCCGCCUAACAGUGGGAGUGAAUUGUCCAACCGAAAAACUGCCUUCGCCGACAUCCUCCAAAACACAAUGAUGCCCUAG
rnacentral:rRNA from 1 species